GAGAGAGAGGAGAGAGAGUGUGUGUGUGUGUCUGUGUGUCUGUGUGACUGUGUGUCGCAAGUACCCAUACCUGAUGAAAGGAUGGAAUGAAGAAAAGGAAGAUGUACCAGUGAGUUUUACUACUUUGCUUUGGCUCCAAGUGGGUCACGCUAUUCCAGCCAACCAUGGCCCGGCAGUUCUAAUCCUCGGCCUGCUACCCCCAAUGAAACCAGCGGAGUAGCCAGUGGCCAUUUACUUAAAUUCUUACAUGGUUCUUUAGUUCUCUCUCCUGCUGAUGAUUCUCCCACUGCAAUAUGGUGAUUUUCUGCCUCUCCUCCUCUCUCCCACGUCCUACCCUGCGCAAAUCUAAGGGUCCCUCCCUAUCUCCCUCUGCCCAGUCAUUGGCCACUGACAUCUUUAUUGAUCAAUCAAAACCAGUGGAGACAAGGAUCUUCAGCGUUUGGACACGCAGAUUCCUGAUUAAAUCAGAGCAUUAGAACCAAUCCCCAACAGGACAAAGCCACCUAAAGGGCAGAAAUGGAAACAAGAAAGGCUAAUGGUGCACGAGAGUCAUGAAAAAAGAAAGUGAGAGCAACAAGCAUAGGGGAGGAGAGAACGAGGGCUUGUUUGGGGAAAAUUGAAACAAUGUACAAUGAUAUUUAUGGAUGAAAAUGCCAUAGUAAGCUCCAUUUCUUUGUAAACUAAACAAAAAGAAUUAAAAACAGACAUCCUAUCCAGUUGAACUAAGAUAUGGGUCCAGAGAAACUAAGAGAGAUGAAGGUAAAAUAUUAAGGAACCAGCAACAGAGUAAUGCUUUCUCACCUCAACGAGAGCUACUAUGAGGAUUACUCUCUGUUUGCUUCCUUCGGGGGGAUCAGCAAUUUUCCUGUACAGCCUAACCAAGAUAGUCCUCUAGCUUAGCUUCCAAGAAUAGAAAGCACAUCUGUAAACAAUGGGUACACAUCAUUGUUAGUGGGAGGUUAUCAACUCUUGCUUCCCAGAGACUAAAGCAUCCACACAAGGAAUGUUUUACAGGAAACAAGAUAUAUGCUUGCUAACCUAGUUACAGGGGUUACAUAAACACUCCAAUUUGUUACUAGGUAGAGGGACAUAGUAACUACAGUUGAUAUCUGAGUCCCUUCGGCGUUCGACAAGGAACCCAAAAUUGCACCACUGCAAAUAUGUUUUUCGGUCUCAUGGGUUUUUACCGAAGAGUGAAAUAUUGAAAGGGGUGCUUAGCAUUAAAAGUAAGACACUGAACUCGGACUUCUAUAAAGUACAAGAAGAUGGCAGAAGUCAACAGAAGUCCCAAGCAGGAACAAGAGGAAUGAGGCAAAUGAAUUAAAGAGAGAUCAGUGUGGUACAUAAACUCCAACACCACAAAGGUAAGAAGUAGAAUAGUCAAUAGACAUAUUGUAGAUGAAAGCCCACAAAGACUAUCUACUAGGAUGCAAAACCCAGGGGGUUAAAGAUAAAGUCCCUAACUUGCAUUUCUGAUUAAGCAUAUUGUGUUAAGCAUUGAUAAGGACCAGAGGGCACAACUCCCGGAUAACAGAGCUAGGCUGAGCUGGAGAAACCAACAGCGUUUCAGCAUAUAGGUUUAUCAAGCACACGGCCAGGAAAUGCAAGCAGCAUAGGAGCCUUGGGGGAACGUCAAGAAGGUCUUCACAAAGAAGCAACUUAGCCCAAGAGAGAAACGUGUGUCACAGUCAACAAAGCUGAAAGGAGUUAGAGACGUGAAGAGUUCUAUGAUAUCAAAUAGGAAGAUGCAGAAUUUGGAGUUUGCCGGGCUGGUUUUAGGUCUUGCUUUGAUUUACUAUUUCCUCACUGUGCUCCCUUUCUCCCCAUUUGGAAUGGUGAUGUAUAUUCUGUGCCGCUGUAUGUUUAAAGUAUGUGAUCUGCUUCUGUUUGUGAUUUGGGUUACAGUUAAGAGACUGCCAGGAGUCUCAGAAGACACUUUGAACUUUGGACUUGGAACUCUGUUAAGAUUGUUAUAGACUAUGGCAACUUUUGAAGUUGGACUGCAUUUUUCCUUUAUGACUUCGCUAUAAGCCUAAGGGGGUCAGGGAGUGGAAUAUGGUGAUUUGAAUGAGAACUGCCCCCAUAGGCCCAUAGAUUUGAAUACCUGGUCAUCAGAGAGUGGCACAUUUAGGAUUAAGAGGUGUGACCUUGGUGGAGGAAGUAUGUCACUGGUGAUGGGCUUGAGGUUUCAGAAGCCCCAACCAGGCUAAGUGCCUCUCUCUUCACUCUGCCUGCAGAUUCAGAAGUACAACUCUCUCAAGCUACUUCUUCCGUACCAUGAAGACAAUGCACUAAACCUCACAACUGAAGGCAAACCCAAGCGGUCUGCAAUUUUUAAGAGACAUGAGACUUCUAGAAGAGAUGCUGUUUGGUAUUUAGAACGGAAGCCGGUGGGAGCAGGAGACUGAGGGUCUGCAUGAGAAUGCACCUUAGGCGCAGACAUCUGAACACUCGGUCUGAGCUGUAGGAGAUGUGCUGGGGGCUGAGGUGGUCCAGACUUGUGGCAGAAGCACAUGGCUGGGGAGGCCUUGGGACUAAAUGCUUCACACCACUUGCAGCUCACGUCCUUCCUCUGUGCUGACAUCUGAAGAUGUGAGUGUUCGGCUUCCUGUUCCUGCCAUCAAGCCUGCCGCGUGCUGCCGUGCCUCCCGCCAUGGUGGAUUCUUAUUCCUCUGGAAGCCUAAGCCCAAAUAAACUCUUCCUUCCAUAAGUUUCCUUGUCAGCGUGUUUUAUCAAAGCAACAGAAAGUAACUAAUACAGGAAACGAUGACAUUAAUAGAUCAAAGUGAAUGGUAUAGACACACAGGGUAGUACACAGAAAUCUAUUACCUUUAAAUUUAAUAGAUGGUAAAAAAAAAUUACAUGUAUAUCCUGUUUAUAGGAUUGAGGUUUUGUUUGUUUGUUUUUGGACUCAGCCUUUGGAAAAACAUGUACAAAAUAUCUUCCUUUUCCCCCUUGCUCUGCGGAGGUCUCUAUCAUGUGCAUGGCUCCUGGAGUUCUCAGACCCAUCUUAUGGGUGUCUAUAAUAAAAUAAACUAUAAACUUACCUAGGCCUUAACAAACUCUAAGAAAGAAAUGAGGCAGUCUUCUAACAUAAAACACACUUUUAACUAAUACCCCUUAAACCUGAUCAUCUACAGUGACUAGCCAUCUAAUUCAAAAACAGAUUCAGAGGCAAAGAGAGAUGACUCAGCAGUUAAGAGCACUGAGUCAUAAAAUAAAUAAAAUAAAAUAAAAUAAAUAAAUAGACUAACCUCAAGUCACUUGUACAUUCCAUUGAAAUACAAAAAGAAAUCCAAAUAACAAAACAUCAUAAGAAAUUUGUAUUUCAGAAGAACCAUGGAUCUGGGGAAGUCGGUGUUGGGGAAACUGGCAGUAGUGGAAGGAGGGGAGACUGCAUCAGGAUGGUUGAUAUGAGAGAAGAAGGAUGAGGAGGGAAGGAGAAAGAGAGAGAGACGGGGGCGGGGUCCUGGCUAUACCAAGCCUUAUCCCAGACACAAUAAUGAACUCCUCACACAUCCUCCAGCACCUGGAAGGCAUCACCAAUGGAGUAUCUGGUGGGAAGAUGAAGCUCCCACCAUAAGUCCUUCAUGACAUAGCUCAUGAGCCUGACUAGUCACUCCCCACGAGCAGACAGACCUACUGACCUAUCCCUGCUCACAGGUGGGGUGACCUUGGCCAGGUCCCACACCAGUGGAAGAGAGCUGUAUUCUACACAUGACUAAGAAAAGCUGCUGCUUUUGCUGUACGGAAAACAAGACAAAUCAAUCCAGGCGUUCAUUCAGGCCAUCAUGCACCCUGAGAAAACAAGGCAUUUCCAGACAUUGUGCUCAGUAACUGAUUCAAAUAUGUAUGUCGUGAUGUUUUCAUCAGAAAGAGGUUUAGGAGCCUUUGAUAAAAACACAUUUAGUGUCCACAAAGCUUAAUGAUACUUGUCUUUAAUCCCAACACUCACAAA
rnacentral:sRNA from 1 species